UACGUAGGGGGCAAGCGUUGUCCGGAAUCAUUGGGCGUAAAGCGCGUGUAGGCGGUCCGGUAAGUCCGCUGUGAAAGUCGGGGGCUUAACCCUCGGAUGCCGGUGGAUACUGUCGGGCUUGAGUACGGAAGAGGCGAGUGGAAUUCCUGGUGUAGCGGUGAAAUGCGCAGAUAUCAGGAGGAACACCCGUGGCGAAAGCGGCUCUCUGGGACGGUACUGACGCUGAGACGCGAAAGCGUGGGGAGCAAACAGG
rnacentral:rRNA from 1 species